rnacentral:rRNA from 1 species
AACGUGGCGAAAGGGUGAGUAACGGAUAGACAAUCUACCCUCAACACCGGGAUAAUCCAUCGAAAGGUGAAGUAAUACCGGAUGGUAUACUGUUUCUACGGAGACAGUAUUAAAGGGGGCUUCGGCUUCCGGUUGAGGAGGAGUCUAUUUCCUAUUAGCUUGUUGGUGCGGUAACGGCGCACCAAGGCUGUGAUGGGUAGGGGGCCUUAGCGGGUGGCCCUCCACACUGGGACUGAGACACUGCCCAGGUUCCUACGGGAGGCUGCAAUCGAGAAUCCUCCGCAAUGGGCGAAAGCCUGACGGGGUGACGCCGCGUGACCGAUGAAGGCUCUUACGGGUCGUAAAGGUCUUACAGGGAGUAUGAAAUAUACUGGGGCUAAUAUCUCCAGUAUUUGACGUCAAUCUCAAAUGAAGUCACGGCUAAAUUUGUGCCAGCAGCCGCGGUAAGACAAAUGUGGCAAGCGUUGUUCGGAAUCACUGGGCAUAAAGGGCACGUAGGCGGCGUAGUAAGUUAACUGUGAAAUCCCCCGGCUCAACCGGGGAACUGCAGUUAAUACUGCUGUGCUAGAGUGCAGAAGAGGAGAGUGGGAUUCUAGGUGUAGCGGUGGAAUGCGAAGAUAUCUAGGAGAAGGCCGGUGGCGAAAGCGACCCUCUGGUCUGUUACUGACGCUGAGGUGCGAGAGCGCAGGUAGCGAACGGGAUUAGAUACCCCGGUAGUCUGUGCCGUAAACGAUGGGCACUAGAUGGUGGAGGCGCCGAUAGCUUUCUCCGUCGCAGCUAAUACGUUAAGUGCCCCGCCUGGGGAGUAUGGCCGCAAGGUUAAAACUCAAAGGAAUUGACGGGGGCCCACACAAGCGGUGGAGGAUGUGGCUUAAUUCGAGGAUACCCGUAAAACCUUACCGAGGCUUGACAUGCAGGUGGUAGUGAAGUGAAAGCGGAACGACCCGAAUAGGGAGCCUGCACAGGUGCUGCAUGGCUGUCGACAGCUCGUGUCGUGAGAUGUUAGGUUAAAUCCCGUAACGAGCGAAACCCUUGUGAUUAAUAGCCAGCGCGUUAUGGCGGGGACCUUAAGCAGACUGCUCCGGCCAACGGGGAGGAAGGUGGGGAUGAUGUCAAGUCAGCAUGUCCUUUAUGCCUGG